rnacentral:rRNA from 1 species
ACUCCUACGGGAGGCAGCAGUGGGGAAUAUUGCACAAUGGGCGAAAGCCUGAUGCAGCGACGCCGCGUGAGGGAUGAAGGCCUUCGGGUUGUAAACCUCUUUCGACAGUGACGAAGCCGCGGUGACGGUAGCUGGAGAAGAAGCACCGGCCAACUACGUGCCAGCAGCCGCGGUAAUACGUAGGGUGCAAGCGUUGUCCGGAUUUAUUGGGCGUAAAGAGCUCGUAGGCGGCGCGCCGCGUCGAAAGUGAAAACCAUACGCUUCACGUGUGCCUGCUUUCGGUAGGCGUGCUUGAGUGUGGUAGGGGAGUCUGGAAUUCCUGGUGUAGCGGUGAAAUGCGCAGAUAUCAGGAGGAACACCGGUGGCGAAGGCGGGACUCUGGGCCAUUACUGACGCUGAGGAGCGAAAGCGUGGGGAGCGAACAGGAUUAGAUACCCUGGUAGUCCACGCUGUAAACGUUGGGCGCUAGGUGUGGGGACUGGUUCACGGUUCCGUGCCGUAGCUAACGCAUUAAGCGCCCCGCCUGGGGAGUACGGCCGCAAGGCUAAAACUCAAAGGAAUUGACGGGGGCCCGCACAAGCGGCGGAGCAUGCGGCUUAAUUCGAUGCAACGCGAAGAACCUUACCUGGGUUUGACAUCACUUGAAAACUCGUAGAGAUACGGGGUCCUUCGGGGCUUGUGACAGGUGGUGCAUGGUUGUCGUCAGCUCGUGUCGUGAGAUGUUGGGUUAAGUCCCGCAACGAGCGCAACCCUUAUCUCAUGUUGCCAGCGGUUCGGCCGGGGACUCAUGGGAGACUGCCGGGGUCAACUCGGA